rnacentral:rRNA from 1 species
CCUACGGGUGGCAGCAGUGAGGAAUAUUGGUCAAUGGGCGCGAGCCUGAACCAGCCAAGUAGCGUGAAGGAUGACUGCCCUACGGGUUGUAAACUUCUUUUAUAAAGGAAUAAAGUGAGGAACGUGUGCCUUUUUGUAUGUACUUUAUGAAUAAGGAUCGGCUAACUCCGUGCCAGCAGCCGCGGUAAUACGGAGGAUCCGAGCGUUAUCCGGAUUUAUUGGGUUUAAAGGGACCGUAGAUGGGUUGUUAAGUCAGUUGUGAAAGUUUGCGGCACAACCGUAAAAUUGCAAUUGAUACUGGCAGCCUUGAGUACAGUUGAGGUAGGCGGAGUUCGUGGUGUAGCAGUGAAAUGCUUAGAUAUCACGAAGAACAACGAUUGCGAAGGCAGCCGAAUAAACUGCCACUGACAUUGAUGCGCGAAAGUGUGGGUAUCAAACAGGAUUAGAUACACUUGUAGUC